rnacentral:hammerhead_ribozyme from 1 species
AGCUAGUUGACAAGUCGAAAAUAGGACGAAAUGUGCAUCCUAGAU